UAAAAAGCUCGUAGUUGGAUCUGUGUAUCGGACGGUCGGUUCGCCGCUCGCGGUGUUUAACUGACCGGUUCGGACGUCAUGCCGGUGGGCCCUCGGCGCAAGCCGUGGACCCGUAACUUACCCUCCGCGCUGCUCUUAACCGAGUGGUUCGGUGGGCCGGCACGUUUACUUUGAACAAAUUUGAGUGCUCAAAGCAGGCCUUAUGUUGCCUGGAAACUGUGUGCAUGGAAUAAUGAAAGAGGACCUUGGUUCUAUUUUGUUGGCUUUCUGAACUUGAGGUAAUGAUUAACAGGGACAGACGGGGGCAUUCGUAUUGCGACGUUAGAGGUGAAAUUCUUGGAUCGUCGCAAGACGGACCGAUGCGAAAGCGUUUGCCAAGAAUGUUUUCGCUAAUCAAGAACGAAAGUUAGAGGUUCGAAGGCGAUUAGAUACCGCCCUAGUUCUAACCAUAAACGAUGUCAGCCAGCGAUGCGCCGAUGUUCCUCCGAUGACACGGCGCGCAACUUCCGGGAAACCAAAGCUUUUGGGUUCCGGGG
rnacentral:rRNA from 5 species